CCUGGAAAAGAAUAAUAAAUAAUCAAUGUUGGUGCCCUACCUGUGCUGACCUGUGUAAACAAGUACCUGGGCUACCUCUUAUAACGCACGAAAAAUAUGACAAAACCACAUAAUUGGAAAUCAUUAGUACAUAUGUACUUGCAUGAAAAAAAACUACCGACAAGACAACCGAAAUAAAAUAUUCCAGGUAUUAUGAUUUAUUUGUUGCAAUUGUUUGGCCGUAAUUGUGUGGUACACAAAUUUGAUACAAAAAGUUUUUAACCAGUAUGGAACUGUGGGAGAGAGUAAGUAAUUAAUAAUUUUGGAGUCGAGCCUAUGCAGAAGGCGGAAAUUGUCGAGUAUGUCACAAAAUUGGCAGGAGCUGUUAUCCUGCCCUCGGUGAUGUAGGAACCAAUGAUGUCGCGAUGAUCGAAAAGGAAACCAAACGCUAAAAAAUGUGCGUAAAGUUAUCGUUUAGGUUAGGCUUCACAAACUUAAUUGUUCAGUGUCGGCAUCUCUGGAAACGAAGGCCUCCAAGCAGCUUGCGCCAGUGACUAUGCCAUCGCCCAAUUCUACUACUUGAAGAAACUACUCUUCGUUCAUGGGGCUUGGAACCACGACAGGAUUACGAAAGCGAUAUUCUACAGUUUCUACAAGAACAUUUGCCUCAUUCGACCAAAUAGAAAAAAGAUGACCAGAAUGAUGAUGAUCAAGAAGCCAAGGUUGAUUGAGUGAUCUCAUGAUCGAUGUGGGUGAGAUAACCUGUUUGCGGAAUGUGACAGAGGGAAAGCAUUUUUCAAAAUCCAACAAAACAUUCAGAACUGCCUUCGUGUUGACAUAUUUUUAAAUGAUUUUUAAAACGUUUAUAACUGUUUCGUCUUGACCUGGACCAUCCUUAACUUAAACACUUUGUACAGCAAAUUGUGACCAAUAAACUACUUUGAAACAAAAAAAAA